UGUAAGUUUGACUGUGUGCUAUCAACAUCAAUACGUGAUGGAAGUUGCGUUCCUGCGUUGAGCUGAUGAGCGGUCACGCCAAUGUAAGCAGGCAGGAGCUCAUUCGCUGGCACUCGGAGCUGCUGCUAUGACGUCGGUACAACCGAUAUGAUGGGUAUCAUUAGAAACCGCAGAGGAAACUACCUAUACUUCGCCGUUUCCUGUUCGUUCGUCCUCGCCUACCUCACGACAUCCUUUACCAAACGCGGAUGGCCCAAGCUUCCCAAUACAUUUCAAGUUUAUCCUUGGCAGAUGGUUGCUUAUGACGAGAGUAACUGUGGUUGCCCAAGGUAUGGUCCACCAAUUUUAAGAGAGAGUGACCAGUCAUUGUGCAGUGACUGGUCAACCAGCCGUGGUCUCGGACAAAAGGUCGUUUCUUAUUCGUUGUACGGCAACCGGAAUAACACCCAAGUUAAUAAAAAGUAUUACAUGUCCGUAGAGGACAGACUGAAAGAAGUGGACAAGUUUUACAAAGGUUUCAUUGUGAGGUUGUACCAUAACCUGUCAUCAUCAGACCGGGAGAGCAGAGAAUUCCUGUGCCAUAUGUACUGUACAUAUCCAUUCUUCGACCCCUGUCAGGUAGAGAAUCUGUACCAUCAGGUUCCCAAGACUAAUCCAGACCUCAGACGAAGUCAUUCCUCAAAAAUAAACUUACCAAAAUUCCAGAUGCAUAACAGUAAAAUAAAAAAAGACAGGAUGAGAAGUUCACUAAUAGACAGACUUGGACCUAUAGAUUCUAACGCCGAAUUAGCCAAUGAAGGUCCCAAAAGCUACCAAGUUUUGCUUGUGGGGAAGAUGUGGCGAUUCCUCGUCAUGGGAGAUCCUCUGGUGUCCGAAUUCUUGGUCAGGGACGUGGAUUCGUCCAUCCUGGAACGAGAAGUAGCUGCGGUCGAACAAUGGCUUUAUAACUCGACGGCUCUGUUGCAUGUGAUGAGAGACCACCCGAGUCACAACGGAGUCAUGCUUGCAGGCCUGUGGGGAGGAUCUCGAGCAAGAGCUGGGCAUCGGUUGAGCGGACUUCUGUGGGAAAUGUUGAAGUGGCCUCCCAGGAACAUCUGGGAUUACGAUCAGGUCCUCCUCAGAAGGGUUGUCUGGCCGGAAGUAACUAAUGACGUGUUAGUGCAUGACAGCUACUUCUGUGGCAACCGCAGAUUUCAAUCCAAGCACCGCUCAGAGCCUUUUCCAACGCGCCGAGAUGGCAGGUAUUUUGUGGGAUGGGGCCCUUUGAGAGAUGCAGAGCUUGACGGCAUAAGUAUCUGCCCACGUCAGUGUAGACCUGUUAAUCACCAAGAUUGGAUUCUUUGUUAAAUCUUACUCCUAUUUUUUAUAUAAUGAGUGGUGUGGUUCCUGGCUGGCAGGAUGGAUAGCUCAUCUAGUAGUCCUUUCUGUGGUGGUCAUUGGGAUAAAGGUGAUGAAUCACCUCCUCCAUCAUAUGUUCGACACCACCGAUUGCCUCAAGGAAGAACUGACACCUGCAACGCCUACAACUGCCAACGAUAUCCCAACUCCCGUCCGAGUCAACUUAACCCCUGCCCAGCACAUAAGAAGCCGAUCAUUCGAAGAAAUAGAGAUGCAGGUAGUAAACAGUGGAGGCGGCGAGAGUGAAACUCCUCCUGUUGGUUGCAGCUCACGCAACUCUAUUAUGGAAGCUCAUCCCACCCACUCCGCCCAACCUCCCUCAACCAUAGGUAUUGAAAGCUAAA